GUGACUGCGUACCUUUUGUAUAAUGGGUCAGCGACUUAUAUUCUGUAGCAAGGUUAACCGUAUAGGGGAGCCGGAGGGAAACCGAGUCUUAAUUGGGCGUUAAGUUGCAGGGUAUAGACCCGAAACCCGGUGAUCUAGCCAUGGGCAGGUUGAAGGUUGGGUAACACUAACUGGAGGACCGAACCGACUAAUGUUGAAAAAUUAGCGGAUGACCUGUGGCUGGGGGUGAAAGGCCAAUCAAACCGGGAGAUAGCUGGUUCUCCCCGAAAGCUAUUUAGGUAGCGCCUCGUGAAUUCAUCUCCGGGGGUAGAGCACUGUUUCGGCUAGGGGGCCAUCCCGGCUUACCAACCCGAUGCAAACUGCGAAUACCGGAGAAUGUUAUCACGGGAGACACACGGCGGGUGCUAACGUCCGUCGUGAAGAGGGAAACAACCCAGACCGCCAGCUAAGGUCCCAAAGUCAUGGUUAAGUGGGAAACGAUGUGGGAAGGCCCAGACAGCCAGGAUGUUGGCUUAGAAGCAGCCAUCAUUUAAAGAAAGCGUAAUAGCUCACUGGUCGAGUCGGCCUGCGCGGAAGAUGUAACGGGGCUAAACCAUGCACCGAAGCUGCGGCAGCGAACGUAUCACUUAAAGCGAUUCAGCGGGUUACGAUUGACGGAGCGAAGCGACGUCAAAGCGUAUACAAAGUCGAGUCGGUUUAAGGAUACGUUCGUUGGGUAGGGGAGCGUUCUGUAAGCCUG
rnacentral:rRNA from 1 species